CCUUCCCCUUGAGGUGCUGCAGGUGUGGCUGAGGUGUCACAUGUGAAUCAGUAGGGGGCAGAGGGGAGAGAGGCUAUGCCCAUGCUCAGUGUUUAGACCCAUGAACAUCUGAAUGAUUAUUAGCCUAAUUCA